rnacentral:rRNA from 1 species
AGUGAACGCUGGCGGUAGGCCUAACACAUGCAAGUCGAACGGCAGCACAGUAGGAGCUUGCUCUUACGGGUGGCGAGUGGUGGACGGGUGAGGAAUACAUCGGAAUCUACUUUUUCGUGGGGGAUAACGCAGGGAAACUUACGCUAAUACCGCAUACGACCUACGGGUGAAAGCAGGGGAUCUUCGGACCUUGCGCUAUUGAAUGAGCCGAUGUCGGAUUAGCUAGUUGGCGGGGUAAAGGCCCACCAAGGCGACGAUCCGUAGCUGGUCUGAGAGGAUGAUCAGCCACACUGGAACUGAGACACGGUCCAGACUCCUACGGGAGGCAGCAGUGGGGAAUAUUGGACAAUGGGCGCAAGCCUGAUCCAGCCAUACCGCGUGGGUGAAGAAGGCCUUCGGGUUGUAAAGCCCUUUUGUUGGGAAAGAAAAGCAGCAGGUUAAUACCCCGCUGUUCUGACGGUACCCAAAGAAUAAGCACCGGCUAACUUCGUG